AUUAUGCAUAUACAUGGAGGCUUAAUUAAUUAGACUUGUACUCUGUCUUUUGAAAUGUGAUAUAAUAUAAAAACAUUGCUCAUCUACAAUUAUAGCCCCACAUAUAAAGUUAAACAGUAAGAAACAUCCUCCCUUGUUCAUUUUACAUUCAUUCAGUUGGCGCAUGCUUGCCAAGAGAUGGCCCUUUUUUUCAGCCCUGUUUGCAAAAGAGGCUUAAAGUAAUAAGUUGAUUUCUUUGGCAAUAUUUCUAUUAGUGAUAUAUAUGAUUGUUAAUUAUACUCAUUGUUUUAGUAUCA
rnacentral:misc_RNA from 1 species